rnacentral:rRNA from 1 species
GACGAACGCUGGCGGCGUGCUUAACACAUGCAAGUCGAACGGAAAGGCCUCUUUCGGGGGGUACUCGAGUGGCGAACGGGUGAGUAACACGUGAGUAACCUGCCCUUGACUUUGGGAUAACUUCAGGAAACUGGGGCUAAUACCGGAUAGGAGCUCCUGCUGCAUGGUGGGGGUUGGAAAGUUUCGGCGGUUGGGGAUGGACUCGCGGCUUAUCAGCUUGUUGGUGGGGUAGUGGCUUACCAAGGCUUUGACGGGUAGCCGGCCUGAGAGGGUGACCGGCCACAUUGGGACUGAGAUACGGCCCAGACUCCUACGGGAGGCAGCAGUGGGGAAUAUUGCACAAUGGGUGGAAGCCUGAUGCAGCAACGCCGUGUGCGGGAUGACGGCCUUCGGGUUGGAAACCGCUUUCGCUCAUGACGAAGCUUUGUGUGACGGUAGUGGGUAAAGAAGCACCGGCCAGCUACGUG